AAAUGAAUUGACGGGGGCCCGCACAAGCGGUGGAGCAUGUGGUUUAAUUCGAUGCAACGCGAAGAACCUUACCAGGUCUUGACAUCCAAAGAAUGCUGUAGAAAUACGGCAGUGCCUUUUAGGAGCUUUGAGACAGGUGGUGCAUGGUUGUCGUCAGCUCGUGUCGUGAGAUGUUGGGUUAAGUCCCGCAACGAGCGCAACCCUUGCUAUUAGUUGCUAACAGGAAAGCUGAGCACUCUAAUGGGACUGCCCGUGACAAGCGGGAGGAAGGUGGGGAUGACGUCAAAUCAUCAUGCCCUUUAUGAUCUGGGCUACACACGUGCUACAAUGGGUGGUACAGAGAGCAGCGAAGUCGCGAGGCGGAGCGAAUCUCAGAAAGCCAUUCUCAGUUCGGAUUGGAGUCUGCAACUCGACUCCAUGAAGUCGGAAUCGCUAGUAAUCGCGAAUCAGCAUGUCGCGGUGAAUGCGUUCCCGGGCCUUGUACACACCGCCCGU
rnacentral:rRNA from 1 species